AUGCGGGCGCCCGCCAGCAUCCUCAACCUCCUGCUGCUGUCCUUGCUGGCCGGCCUCGAUCCUUCCAAGCUACUGAUGGUACCAGCUAUUGCUGUGUUCUGCAGAGACUUACCAGGCAACGCACAGGAGUUCCACAUUUGUGUCAACAGGAACACAUGGGCACGUUACUAUAAUCACAGGUUUCCCCGGUCAUUUUUCUAUCGUCAGUUGCACUCAGAUCCAUUAAAGUCAAAGAGACUGCCUGGAAGCAGAAAAAAAACAAACAAACAGAAUUUGGUCACUGUCCACAGAAGACUAAAACACUGAUGAAGAAAACCAGCUUUAGCUUGCAGCAGUCUGCGUAGUUCAGGUGUCAGAGUGAUGUCCCAAAAUAACAGUUGGAAGACAUGCUCCAUUUUAUGUGUCUGUCACUGACCAGCACUGAAAAAUCAGGAUGAGCCACCACAACCAAAUCUGAUCACUCAUCUUUGAAACUUUGCUUCUAGUCCUUUUUGGCAUGGCAUCCUGUCCAAAGGGCGUUAGAAAGGCCUUUUAUUCAUCAUGAGGCGAGACAUUUUCAGGGAUAUUAAAAUGCUAAUUGCAGGCCCUUUUAACUCUGUGAAGAAGCCAUGAGCCAAAAAGAUCUAAAGUCCUUAAGAAUAUGUAAAAAUGUGAGCCCUUACUCAAAGUCUGCUGUUUAUUGGAGCUAAACUGGGUUUUCAGAAAUAAAGUAAAUUAGAGAUCAAAUGGUUACUCACAUCCUUGGCUAAGAUACUACAGCACAUUUUACCAUUUCAGAAGGUGUCACAUGGCAGAUAAUAAUUUAGUUUUGUUGACAACGAAUAUCAGAUUUCACAUUUCUUUGAAAAAUUAUCUGUCUGUGGACUUCUGGCUAAUAUUGUUGUUUCUGGUUUUGUGGUGGGAUUUUUUGUUUGUUUUUUAGCAAAUAAAUACAAGCUGCAGUGGAAAUCACUUUAGAAAUGGAAGUAAUGCUCAGUUAUUUAUCUUACUUUAUGCUAAAUGGAAAUGGAAUAACAAUUUUCUGCCCUGUAGGUUUGGAAGCAAAUAUAUCAUGUGAAAUUAGUCACAGGAAACACAGAGAUGUUCACUUCACUUCUCCAAAACACUAUGCAAUAUGCUUUUGGCCAGAUGUACAACUUUUUCAUGCCCUUGACACUCACAAACCAUUCAGCUUAUGAAAAUAAAUUGUCUCAGAUAUUUCAGAGUAUAUACAAUAUAUUCCUAUUUAUGACCUGCAUUAUUACUAUUCAAGUAAUAAUUUAAGUGAUCAAUUACUUAAAAAUUUUUGCCUGCAAAAAAAAAAAGCUUCUAUUUAGUACUAGGCUAACACUUAAGACUGUUGUUCACAGGCAGUCUUAUUAUGACAGGGCUUUUCUGCUAAACUUAGUACGUUAUCUACAAUUGUCUUUAGGUGUCGUCAUCUUAUGGCAGUAUACGUAACCCCAAAAAAGUAGAGUUUAUUGUCAAAUUUCCGACACAUUAAAAUUUUAUUUCAGCAAUAGCCUUUUAUUGCCCGUGCUGUUGUAUUUCACUUCUUUUUCUGAUAAAGAGUAUUGGCCAGCUCUGGCAAUUCUCCUUUAACAAGCUCACUACUGCUUAAUUUUAAACACUUAUAAUGCUAAUUGUAGAAUAUCAAUUUUAAGACACUUAUUAAAAUGUCAUGUCUGUUAAUUAGAUUCUAAUUUUGCUCUGUAUUUAUACAGGAAAAAAACCCAAGAAAAUAUAAUUAUUCAUCAUAAUGUUUUUCAGUAAAUUUUUAUUUCCAGUAGGGUGAUUAGAUAUUCAGC
ensembl:lncRNA